rnacentral:tRNA from 1 species
GUGGGCGUGGCGGUGUUCGCGUGGCUGUGCUGGCGGCGCGCCUGGACCGUGGCCCUGUACUGGGCCGCCGCGCUGCUGGGGGCGCGCGCCUGCG